rnacentral:rRNA from 1 species
UGGGGAAUUUUGGACAAUGGGCGAAAGCCUGAUCCAGCAAUGCCGCGUGUGUGAAGAAGGCCUUCGGGUUGUAAAGCACUUUUGUCCGGAAAGAAAUCCUUGGCUCUAAUACAGUCGGGGGAUGACGGUACCGGAAGAAUAAGCACCGGCUAACUACGUGCCAGCAGCCGCGGUAAUACGUAGGGUGCAAGCGUUAAUCGGAAUUACUGGGCGUAAAGCGUGCGCAGGCGGUUUGCUAAGACCGAUGUGAAAUCCCCGGGCUCAACCUGGGAACUGCAUUGGUGACUGGCAGGCUAGAGUAUGGCAGAGGGGGGUAGAAUUCCACGUGUAGCAGUGAAAUGCGUAGAGAUGUGGAGGAAUACCGAUGGCGAAGGCAGCCCCCUGGGCCAAUACUGACGCUCAUGCACGAAAGCGUGGGGAGCAAACAGGAUUAGAUACCCUGGUAGUCCACGCCCUAAACGAUGUCAACUAGUUGUUGGGGAUUCAUUUCCCNAGUAACGUAGCUAACGCGUGAAGUUGACCGCCUGGGGAGUACGGUCGCAAGAUUAAAACUCAAAUGAAUUGACGGGGUC